UACGGGGGGGGCAAGCGUUGUUCGGAAUUACUGGGCGUAAAGGGCUCGUAGGCGGCCAACUAAGUCAGACGUGAAAUCCCUCGGCUUAACCGGGGAACUGCGUCUGAUACUGGAUGGCUUGAGUUCGGGAGAGGGAUGCGGAAUUCCAGGUGUAGCGGUGAAAUGCGUAGAUAUCUGGAGGAACACCGGUGGCGAAGGCGGCAUCCUGGUCCGACACUGACGCUGAGGAGCGAAAGCCAGGGGAGCAAACGGG
rnacentral:rRNA from 1 species